UACGGGGGGAGCAAGCGUUGUUCGGAUUUACUGGGCGUAAAGGGCGCGUAGGCGGUCGUGACAAGUCACUUGUGAAAUCUCCGGGCUUAACUCGGAACGGUCAAGUGAUACUGUCGGACUAGAGUACAGAAGGGGCAACUGGAAUUCUCGGUGUAGCGGUGAAAUGCGUAGAUAUCGAGAGGAACACCUGCGGCGAAGGCGGGUUGCUGGGCUGAUACUGACGCUGAGGCGCGAAAGCCAGGGGGAGCGAUCCGG
rnacentral:rRNA from 1 species